AGGCGCACUGUGCUAGAGAGAGAACUCAAGGCUUGGGUGGGAAACAUUUUGGAGAGAAAGAGGGAAGCCAGUGGGGACCGGCUCCAGUGACUCAGUGAGCUUGUCGGUGGCUAGAGCCAACGCCAGCAUAGGGCCUGGCGCUCAGCCACUGUCCAGAGAAACGGAAGAUGAUGAUUCCCGAGGAAUUUCCAGGUGCUCUCACCUCCAAAUAGCCCCCACCCAGCUGCCAUCUUCCUCCAGGAAUCCUGGCUGCCCGAGAGGUCAAUAGAAUGUGACCAAGGGGGCAGUGGGACUGUCAAGGCCGAGUCAGGAAGGCACAGCAGCUUCCCAAUCCGUCUCUUGAACUCAUUUCCCGUGGCAGAGGCUGACCCUGGUGAUUUGAGUCGCGCCUUUCCAGCUGCGCGCAUGCGCGGUGCCUUUUCCCGUAAGAAGGGAGGGCUGAGUCUCCAACUGCAGUAGAGAAUUUGCCCGCUUCUGCAAAUCUACCUGGUUUCGCCUCCUCCGAUAUGAGACCCUCUCGUCAGGGAGCCCAGCUGCGUGGAUGCCGGGGACGCUAUGGCUUUGAGGACUGGCCCACCGAGCCAAAGGUGGAACCUGUUUGUCCACAAAUCCUUUUCCUCACCGUGAUGGCUGCUUUGCUUGAUGGAUCUGCAGCUGCUUGGCUUACUUUUUGAUUUGUGUGAGCAAAACCGGCGCCUUUCUCCACCACUUUACCUUUAGCUUGUGUUUCAGUAUUGAAAGUCUGCCUUUUUGUACACAACAUGUGGUUAGGUCUCACUGCUGUUUAAUCCAUGGUGCUAGUCUCUGACCUCUGACUAGUAGUACGUUUAGGUCACUCCCAUUUAGAGAGAUUUUUAAAAUGGUAGGGGGAGACACAAUAUGUCAGGACAAACUGUGCACGAGCACACUGUUUAGAAAAGCAGGACAGGCUCAGAAUGACAGAAAGACUCACAGGGACCCCUUGGAGGAGCUGACUUUUAAACUGAGCUUUGAAGGCUCUGACGAACCCUUACUGCUGAGUGAGCCACAGGCUCUAAGAACCCGGAAGGGCCGUGGGGACCGUCUAAGCUUCUAUGUUACAUGAAGGAAAAGGGCUGCACAUGUGACUGGUACCACUUUUGUGUUGUUUUGUGAGUUUUAUUGUAUUGUUUUGUGGUGUGAGCCUGCGCCUGAGGGCAGGGAUGGCAGCAGGGUGUGGCAACUCACUAUGGUGUAAGUUUGAGAACUCUGGGCGGGGGGGGGGGGGGGGGAUGCAGUCCACAGAAGGGGGUCAGGUGCCACUGCCACAUGGGAGGGAGACUGGGACAAGCACUGUGGCUGAGGUCCCCUGAGAUGCCAAGUGUCUUUGUCUUUCCCAGCAGAGAGAGGCGAGUUCUUUUACUCGAGGGGGGAGGAACCGCUCGCACUAGGGAGGUGAGGCUGGUGUGGGUCCUAUGAUGCAGGCCUUACUAGGUGCAGUUUGAGCUGAGAGAGUUAGGGUGGGAGCAUGAGUAUGCAGAUGGGCUGGAAGGGGGUGUGGGGGAACGAGAGGGCAGGGCAGCCAUGCUUGCUUCCAGACAUGGGAUGCAGCAGCUUUACAAGGCCCCAGAAUGGGGCGUCCCUCUCCCUCCAAGCUCCUCUGCUAUGCUUAUGAUGGCAUUGGAGAGGGAGCCCAAGAGCCUGGGCAGGGAGAGGGGAGAGCAUGGGGCAGUGGGUCCUGGCAUGUCUGGGUCUAGGGUGGUGACUCUCAGACCCAGUCUCAGG
rnacentral:lncRNA from 1 species